GUACUGACAACACCCUCCUCGACAUCCAGAAUACGCAAGCGGAACAUGGAUGACUCCUGGAACAGCAACAAAAAUGGAACCAGGACCACGCCACUACAGUACAAGAACUGAGACAAGACACCACGACAAUGAACGACAACAUCACCACCAUGAUGCGAUUCUGGAACAUUGGGUAAGAUCGACAACCACAUCCAGCUCGGGGGAGUUCCUCCCCGUUUUAUCAAGUAAGUUUUUAUUUGCUUUUCUUAUUUAUUCUUUUCUAUUUUCUCGCUUUAAAUUACUACAUUUUAUAAAUAUGAAAACAAAAUAAAAAGAGUGUGUAGAUAAGUGUGCUUUAUUUUCCUGUUAAGUGUUAAUCUCCAGAAAAAUAAAAAGACCAAAAAGAUGCAUGAUGGAAAUGAUGAACGGUUGCUCUGUUUGCUUACUUUCAAGUACCUAGCUUUUAUAUCAGAAUUCUUCCAGGAAUUACAAAAACUAAAAUUUACUAUCUAUGGGAAGCAUGAACCUAAAACUAAAGUCUAGGUAAGAUAAAGGCAUAAUAUAAAGUUUGAGCUACUAUUUAUCUUGUUCCUACUACACUAAGUUCUAGAGAUUUGUUUUGAAACUUACAAAUCACAUGAUGAGUUCCUAGCAUUACAAACUUCCUACCACAACCAUACUUGCUAUAACAUCUUUUCCUACUUAUUCACAUUGAGUUUGAUCGAGCUGUGUAGACCCUUAGGAGCUUUUCAUGUGGUUAAAUUAAGAUAUUCACUUGCACACAUCUAUUAUACCAUUUACCACCAUGCAUUAAAAUUGCUAAAAAUAAUAUUAUCACUCACUGUCCCAAGUGUUGUUAUUCUCUCUCUCCAAAAAGAUUCAAUGCAGAAGAGGCAUGGGUUAUGCAAAAAUAUGGGAGGAAAUAAAAAGGGGCAAGUGCCCGGAACCUCGAAAAAGAAAGAAAAAGAGUGAGACGAGAGGUAAAAAUGGACAAGUGUCCGGAGUAAAAUUAGGGGUACAAAGAUGCCCACCUGAGCGGAAAAAACGGACAAGUGUCCGACAGUAGAAUUAGAGGUAUUUACUACCCACCUGAAAAAAAAGAAAAGAAAAAGAUAGCCCAUGUUCUCCCAAAGCAAAGAUCAAGAGGAGGAGAGAUAGCAAUAUGGGGAGCAAUGAGAAGUAAGUUUUAUCAUCACUAUACAUUUUUACCAUCACUAUCAUUUACUCCACCACACAUACACAUCUUGAUUUAAUUAUAUGUUGAGUUCCUUUGGAUCCAUUGCUCGAUUAGACAACAUAUGUAUGAGCUGUUUUUUCACUCCUAUUAGCUCCACUUAAAUAUUCCAUAUAGGUAAGUGACAUUUUUGGUAAGGAUCCACAAAUACCACAUAUAGAGAGACUUGAGAAAAUCAUUGCUGGGAACUCUGAGUUUUAUUUUGAAAACUUAUGAAAAACUCUGGAACAAAGGUGAAGUAUAGAUAGGAGGAAUAGUGCUUGACUUAAUUAUUUUGUCUUUCGAUUACUUAAGACUCAAGUGCAGGUACUAAGCUCCAUGACACUUCACUCUAAUCUGGAAGAAUUUUUAUGUGAAAGCAUAUGUGCCUGUCAGAAAAGAAAACAUCGAAGCAACUCCUGAUGAGUUUAGCUGUUUGCUCAGGGACGAGCAAAGGGUAAGCUUGGGGGAGUUUGUUGACGGU
rnacentral:lncRNA from 1 species